rnacentral:rRNA from 1 species
UACGUAGGUGGCAAGCGUUGUCCGGAAUUAUUGGGCGUAAAGAGCUCGUAGGCGGUGUGUCGCGUCGGCCGUGAAAACCUGCAGCUUAGCUGUGGGCGUGCGGUCGAUACGGGCAUCACUGGAGUUCGGCAGGGGAGACUGGAAUUCCUGGUGUAGCGGUGAAAUGCGCAGAUAUCAGGAGGAACACCGGUGGCGAAGGCGGGUCUCUGGGCCGAUACUGACGCUGAGGAGCGAAAGCGUGGGGAGCGAACAGG